UCGAGUGUCUGCAGAGAGUGUCCCCGCCCCGACGCGAGGGUCCCCGCCUCCCGCGACCGCACCGCCCCCGGCUCCGCCCGCUCAGCCCGGCUAACGGUCGGCGAGGCCUGCCACGAGGGAGCGUCCGCGGCCCGCGCAGAACCGCGCACCAAGCCGAUGGCGUGGACGCGGCCGGGCCCCGCGCGUGGGCCGCCAGAGCCUGGGACAUGCCAUGCGGGUGCUUCAGCCCGCGUGCAGGCCGGCGCGCGUGGGCGUGUCCCUCGGGCCCACGCGUGUCCCCCUGAAUCAGUGUCUCGGCUCUCGUCCAGGACGACGACUUCUGAAAGCGAGCCAAGGAGAAUCGCAGUUGGUAAUGGAGCUCCUGACUGCCCGUGGAAGAAGGUGAUUCGGAAGACAGGGAGUGCCAGGAAUCUAACAGCACAUUUCAACUUCAGAACAAAGCAGUGGACUCUAGCAUGGUUUCCUUCUUGAAGACGGGAGUGUGGGAGAGAGUCAAGAAAAUGAAGAUUUGGGGUCCAGCAGCAGCUCGUCCUUGCAGUUGUCUUAAAGAGUGAUUAAUUUCACUUGCAGUGCCUUCCUUCCCGAGCUGGAGUGCUUCUGUGGAGACUAAUUCAGUGAAACCUGUUUAGGGGAUCAUCCCUGCUAGACAGACAGCUGCGAGGGGGCAUUCGCUUCCCAGCAUGGAUUUCAGAUUAUGACCAAUCAAGAGCCGGUGCUAAGGAACACCUGUCAGCAACGUUCGCUACAAGGAGACCAGCUCUUUAAUCAAAUUUCAUUGUACUUCAGAAAAAGGUUUAUUUUAAAUGUGGCAUCUGCUUUUAUGAUUCAUCCUUCUCAGCUGAGACAUCAAUUUGGGGCUUAUUUAUGAUGUUUUUCUAGGGUGAAACAAGAAACUGCAAGAAAGUAUCUCAAAAAGGCAGCCUUUCCCAAACAUUCAAUUAGCAACUUUCUCAUGUGGGAAAAUAAAAAAAUCAAAAACUUUA